AACACGUGGGUGAUCUGCCCUGCACUUUGGGAUAAGCCUGGGAAACUGGGUCUAAUACCGAAUAUGACCACGCUCUUCAUGGGGUGUGGUGGAAAGCUUUUGCGGUGUGGGAUGGGCCCGCGGCCUAUCAGCUUGUUGGUGGGGUAAUGGCCUACCAAGGCGACGACGGGUAGCCGGCCUGAGAGGGUGACCGGCCACACUGGGACUGAGAUACGGCCCAGACUCCUACGGGAGGCAGCAGUGGGGAAUAUUGCACAAUGGGCGCAAGCCUGAUGCAGCGACGCCGCGUGAGGGAUGACGGCCUUCGGGUUGUAAACCUCUUUCACCAGGGACGAAGCGCAAGUGACGGUACCUGGAGAAGAAGCACCGGCCAACUACGUGCCAGCAGCCGCGGUAAUACGUAGGGUGCGAGCGUUGUCCGGAAUUACUGGGCGUAAAGAGCUCGUAGGUGGUUUGUCGCGUUGUUCGUGAAAACUCACAGCUUAACUGUGGGCGUGCGGGCGAUACGGGCAGACUAGAGUACUGCAGGGGAGACUGGAAUUCCUGGUGUAGCGGUGGAAUGCGCAGAUAUCAGGAGGAACACCGGUGGCGAAGGCGGGUCUCUGGGCAGUAACUGACGCUGAGGAGCGAAAGCGUGGGGAGCGAACAGGAUUAGAUACCCUG
rnacentral:rRNA from 1 species